rnacentral:misc_RNA from 1 species
UCCGGUUUGUCACCGGCAGUCUCCCUAGAGUGCCCUUGCGUAGCAACUAGGGACAAGGGUUGCGCUCGUCGCGGGACUUAACCCAACAUCUCACGACACGAGCUGACGACAGCCAUGCAGCACCUGUGCUCCGAUUCCCUUUCGAGCACUCCCCGAUCUCUCAGGGAUUCCAGCCAUGUCAAGGGUAGGUAAGGUUUUUCGCGUUGCAUCGAAUUAAUCCACAUCAUCCACCGCUUGUGCGGACCCCCGUCAAUUCCUUUGAGUUUCAAUCUUGCGAUCGUACUUCCCAGGUGGAUUACUUAAUGCUUUCGCUCAGACACCAACAGUGUAUCGCUGAUGUCGAGUAAUCAUCGUUUAGGGCGUGGACUAC